rnacentral:rRNA from 1 species
AAACCAACAGGGAUUGCCUUAGUAGCGGCGAGUGAAGCGGCAAAAGCUCAAAUUUGAAAUCUGGCACCUUCGGUGUCCGAGUUGUAAUUUGAAGAUUGUAACCUUGGGGUUGGCUCUUGUCUAUGUUUCUUGGAACAGGACGUCACAGAGGGUGAGAAUCCCGUGCGAUGAGAUGCCCAAUCCUAUGUAAGGUGCUUUCGAAGAGUCGAGUUGUUUGGGAAUGCAGCUAUAAGUGGGUGGUAAAUUCCAUCUAAAGCUAAAUAUUGGCGAGAGACCGAUAGCGAACAAGUACAGUGAUGGAAAGAUGAAAAGAACUUUGAAAAGAGAGUGAAAAAGUACGUGAAAUUGUUGAAAGGGAAGGGUUUGAGAUCAGACUCGAUAUUUUGUGAGCCUUGCCUUCGUGGCGGGGUGACCCGCAGCUUAUCGGGCCAGCAUCGGUUUGGGCGGUAGGAUAAUGGCGUAGGAAUGUGACUUUGCUUCGGUGAAGUGUUAUAGCCUGCGUUGAUGCUGCCUGCCUAGACCGAGGACUGCGAUUUUAUCAAGGAUGCUGGCAUAAUGAUCCCAAACCGC